rnacentral:tRNA from 1 species
GGGGAUGUGGUGGAAUUGGUAUACACGUACGCUUCAGAAGCGUAUGGCCUUAGGCCUUGAGAGUUCGAGUCUCUCCAUCCCCA